UGGGGAAUAUUGCACAAUGGGCGGAAGCCUGAUGCAGCAACGCCGCGUGCGGGAUGACGGCCUUCGGGUUGUAAAACCGCUUUCGCCUGUGACGAAGCGUGAGUGACGGUAAUGGGUAAAGAAGCACCGGCUAACUACGUGCCAGCAGCCGCGGUGAUACGUAGGGUGCGAGCGUUGUCCGGAUUUAUUGGGCGUAAAGGGCUCGUAGGUGGUUGAUCGCGUCGGAAGUGUAAAUCUUGGGGCUUAACCCUGAGCGUGCUUUCGAUACGGGUUGACUUGAGGAAGGUAGGGGAGAAAUGGAAUUCCUGGUGGAGCGGUGGAAUGCGCAGAUAUCAGGAGGAACGACCAGUGGCGAAGGCGGUUCUCUGGGCCAUUUCCUGACGCUGAGGAGCGAAAGCGUGGGGAGCGAACAGGCUUAGAUACCCUGGUAGUCCACGCUGUAAAGCGGUGGGUACUAGGUGUGGGGUCCAUUUCCACGGGUUCCGUGCCGUAGCUAACGCUUUAAGUA
rnacentral:rRNA from 1 species